UGGGCGGCCUCCGUUUUUGGAGGAUAGCUAUAUUCAAUAUGACGGCCGAGUCUUUAACCAUAUAUGGCGACCGCGUUGCAUUUUGGGAUAGAUUAUCCUCCAAGAUUAAAAGAUAAAACAGGUGACCCUUCUUGCGCUCCAUAAUCAGCCGCAUUGCAGAGCAUGACGAGCACCGAGAUGGUGUGUAACACCAAAGAAGAGAGCUGAGUAUGAUGUCACAAUGCCAUUUAAAGAAAUUUGCAGCAACAAAUUGCAUGAAGUGUGGUUACACAAAAACAAAGACAGUCUUUCUGGGGACCCAAAUCGCCUCAUUCAUCGACCACUUGCUGUCCUUAAGAGAAAUUUUGCUGAUGUAAAUAAUGUAGAUCCAGUAACAUUUAAGCGAGCCAAAUUCUGCAAUUUUUGUGUGAAUGAAUUGACUUCCUAUUGUACCAAAGGCAACGAUCAUGACUAC